GACGAACGCUGGCGGCGUGCUUAACACAUGCAAGUCGAACGGAAAGGCCCUGCUUUUGUGGGGUGCUCGAGUGGCGAACGGGUGAGUAACACGUGAGUAACCUGCCCUUGACUUUGGGAUAACUUCAGGAAACUGGGGCUAAUACCGGAUAGGAGCUCCUGCUGCAUGGUGGGGGUUGGAAAGUUUCGGCGGUUGGGGAUGGACUCGCGGCUUAUCAGCUUGUUGGUGGGGUAGUGGCUUACCAAGGCUUUGACGGGUAGCCGGCCUGAGAGGGUGACCGGAAACAGGGGGAGUGGGGGAGGGCCGAGCGUGGUAGGGGGGGGGGGAGGGGGGAAGAUGGACCGAGGGGGGGAGGCGGGGGGCGGGAGCGGGGGGUGGGGGGGGACGGCGUGCGGUGGUUAAGCGGGUGCCGCGUGUGACGAGGGGGGAGGGGCGGUGAGGGGAAAAGACGCACCGGCUAACGAGGCGCCAGCGGCGGCGUGAGUGACCGAGGAGCAGAGGGCGAAAC
rnacentral:rRNA from 1 species